UAGAGUUUGAUCAUGGCUCAGAACGAACGCUGGCGGCACGCUUAGCACAUGCAAGUCGAACGGCAGCAGGUCCUUCGGGAUGCUGGCGAGUGGCGAACGGGUGAGUAACACGUGGAAACCUGCCCCGGGGUGUGGGACAACAGCUGGAAACGGCUGCUAAUACCGCAUACGCUCCAAGGAGGAAAGAUUUAUUGCCCUGGGAGGGGUCCGCGCCGGAUUAGCUUGUUGGUGAGGUAAAGGCUCACCAAGGCGACGAUCCGUAGCUGGUCUGAGAGGAUGGACAGCCACACUGGGACUGAGACACGGCCCAGACUCCUACGGGAGGCAGCAGUGGGGAAUAUUGCGCAAUGGGGGAAACCCUGACGCAGCGAUGCCGCGUGGGUGAAGAAGGCCUUCGGGUUGUAAAGCCCUUUCAGUGGGGAAGAUUGUGACGGUACCCACAGAAGAAGCUCCGGCUAACUCCGUGCCAGCAGCCGCGGUAAUACGGAGGGGGCGAGCGUUGUUCGGAAUUACUGGGCGUAAAGGGCGCGUAGGCGGUAUGGCAAGUCAGGAGUGAAAAUUCCGGGCUCAACCUGGGACCUGCUUUUGAAACUGCGAUACUGGAGUCCGGCAGAGGGUGGUGGAAUUCCCCGUGUAGAGGUGAAAUUCGUAGAUAUGGGGAGGAAGACCGGAGGCGAAGGCGGCCACCUGGACCGGUACUGACGCUGAGGCGCGAAAGCGUGGGGAGCAAACAGGAUUAGAUACCCUGGUAGUCCACGCUGUAAACGAUGAGAACUAGGUGUAGCGGGUAUUGACCCCUGCUGUGCCGAAGUUAACGCAUUAAGUUCUCCGCCUGGGGAGUACGGCCGCAAGGCUAAAACUCAAAGGAAUUGACGGGGGCCCGCUCAAGCGGUGGAGCAUGUGGUUUAAUUCGACGCAACGCGAAGAACCUUACCUGGGUUUGACAUCCUUUGACCGCCCUGGAAACAGGGUUUUCUCGACUCUGUCGGGACAGAGUGACAGGUGCUGCAUGGCUGUCGUCAGCUCGUGUCGUGAGAUGUUGGGUUAAGUCCCGCAACGAGCGCAACCCUUGUCUUUAGUUGCCAGUAUUCAGUUAGGAACUCUAAAGAGACUGCCUCGGUUAACGGGGAGGAAGGUGGGGAUGACGUCAAGUCAUCAUGCCCCUUAUAUCCAGGGCUGCAAACAUGCUACAAUGGCCGGUACAGAGGGCAGCAAGACCGAGAGGUUGAGCGAAUCCCAUAAAGCCGGUCUCAGUUCGGAUUGGAGUCUGCAACUCGACUCCAUGAAGGCGGAGUCGCUAGUAAUCCCGGAUCAGCAACGCCGGGGUGAAUACGUUCCCGGGCCUUGUACACACCGCCCGUCACACCACGAAAGUCGGCAACACCCGAAGUCAGUGGCCUAACUCUUUUAGAGAAGGAACUGCCGAAGGUGGGGUUGGUGAUUGGGGUGAAGUCGUAACAAGGUA
rnacentral:rRNA from 1 species